rnacentral:rRNA from 1 species
AGUGAACGCUGGCGGUAGGCCUAACACAUGCAAGUCGAACGGCAGCACAGUAAGAGCUUGCUCUUACGGGUGGCGAGUGGCGGACGGGUGAGGAAUACAUCGGAAUCUACUUUUUCGUGGGGGAUAACGGAGGGAAACUUACGCUAAUACCUCAUACGACCUACGGGUGAAAUCAGGAGAUCUUCGGACCUUUCGCGAUUGAAUGAGCCGAUGUCGGAUUAGCUAGUUGGCGGGGUAACGGCCCACCAAGGCGACGAUCCGUAGCUGGUCUGAGAGGAUGAUCAGCCACACUGGAACUGAGACACGGUCCAGACUCCUACGGGAGGCAGCAGUGGGGAAUAUUGGACAAUGGGCGCAAGCCUGAUCCAGCCAUACCGCGUGGGUGAAGAAGGCCUUCGGGUUGUAAAGCUCUUUUGUUGGGAAAGAAAAGCAGCAGGUUAAUACCCCGAUGUUCUGACGGUACCCAAAGAAUAAGCACCGGCUAACUUCGUG